rnacentral:rRNA from 1 species
AUACCACUUGGAAACAGGUGCUAAUACCGGAUAAGAAAGCGGAUCGCAUGAUCAGCUUUUAAAAGGCGGCGUAAGCUGUCGCUAUGGGAUGGCCCCGCGGUGCAUUAGCUAGUUGGUAAGGUAAAGGCUUACCAAGGCGAUGAUGCAUAGCCGAGUUGAGAGACUGAUCGGCCACAUUGGGACUGAGACACGGCCCAAACUCCUACGGGAGGCAGCAGUC